rnacentral:rRNA from 1 species
ACUGUGAUCAAUAGCUGAUUUGAGAGGAUGAUCAGCCACAUUGGGACUGAGACACGGCCCAAACUCCUACGGGAGGCAGCAGUGGGGAAUCUUGCACAAUGGAGGAAACUCUGAUGCAGCGAUGCCGCGUGAGUGAAGAAGGCCUUUGGGUUGUAAAGCUCUUUCGUCGGGGAAGAAAAUGACUGUACCCGAAUAAGAAGGUCCGGCUAACUUCGUGCCAGCAGCCGCGGUAAUACGAAGGGACCUAGCGUAGUUCGGAAUUACUGGGCUUAAAGAGUUCGUAGGUGGUUGAAAAAGUUGGUGGUGAAAUCCCAGAGCUUAACUCUGGAACUGCCAUCAAAACUUUUCAGCUAGAGUAUGAUAGAGGAAAGCAGAAUUUCUAGUGUAGAGGUGAAAUUCGUAGAUAUUAGAAAGAAUACCAAUUGCGAAGGCAGCUUUCUGGAUCAUUACUGACACUGAGGAACGAAAGCAUGGGUAGCGAAGAGGAUUAGAUACCCUCGUAGUCCAUGCCGUAAACGAUGUGUGUUAGACGUUGGAAAUUUAUUUUCAGUGUCGCAGCAAAAGCGAUAAACACACCGCCUGGGGAGUACGACCGCAAGGUUAAAACUCAAAUGAAUUGACGGGGACCCGCACAAGUAGUGGAGCAUGUGGUUUAAUUCGAAGAUACGCGCAGAACCUUACCAACACUUGACAUGUUCGUCGCGACUUUAAGAGAUUAAAGUUUUCGGUUCGGCCGGACGAAACACAGGUGCUGCAUGGCUGUCGUCAGCUCGUGUCGUGAGAUGUUGGGUUAAGUCCCGCAACGAGCGCAACCCUCACUUUUAGUUGCCAUCAUUAAGUUGG